rnacentral:lncRNA from 1 species
UUUAUUAUUAGUUUUUGUACUUUCAUAUAUUUGUUUUGUUAUGAAAUACUGAAUAAGUCUUGUCCUUCAUUGCAUUUCCAAGUUCAUAUUACAAAGCAGAAUUAAAUGAAAGAAACUGUAUAACGGGGCAUGAUAAUCAUCUGAUUCUUCCAAAAAAACCCAUAAUGAAGCACAUUCAAGAAUAUGAAGCAAGUGUAUGUACUGUGCAUAAGGUUGGUGAGUUGUAAUACAUUGUACUUGUCUUCAGAAUGUAAAAUAACAAACAAUUAGGGACUCGUUUCAUAAAAGUUGAUUGUGAACAAUUCAUCCUUUAAACAAUUUUCUUUUCCUUGUACGCAUAAAUUACAUUGUAUUGCACACGGUUUGUAUUGAUGUGAUCCUGAAAUUUGCAGUCUAAAUUCAGUGAACAAAGUUUGUGGGAGGGUGGCCUUACAUAGCAUCAUGAAUACACAACUGUAUAUUCAAGAGUGUGACAUGACUGAUCUGUUGUAUACAGAGUAUUGGAUCUCAUUCAAACAAGUGAUAAAACAAUUAAAGAUAUCAAGAUAAUAUUUGAUAUGACUGAGACAACCCUUGAUGAACAAUCAAUGGUAUAUAAAAUGCAUUUUCAAACCUACGGAAAAUUGUUAUAAACAUUAAGUUUAUCGCUUUCAGGUCAACAUAUUCUACUACUGCUGUAAAAGUUUUGCUUGAAUGCGAUAAAUAGUUUUCUGUUACUUAUCGUUUUCAUCUUCUCUCUCCCAAACUUAACACUACAGACAAGUAAUCCAAAAAGGAAUCAUUAUUUCAUCAAUUACUAAAUUUACUAAUUGCCACCUCUUGUGUCGAAACAGACCAUUUCCUGUAAGAGGUCCCUGGGACUAAGUUAUAAUAUACUAAGUGUGUUGAAAUGGGAACAAGCCCCAAAAUGGUUGAAACAAAUGGUCCCUUGCAGGAAGAGAUACGAUUAAAUGUAACUCCAGAUAUUGCAACUUGAUUUUUUUUCACCCGAUCAGAAAUGUGAAUGUUAUAUUUUUGCUUGAUUUUGCUGAAAGGGCAUAAGAUGAAAUGGGGUUGUACUAAGUGGGGUGUGACUAAGUGGUGGUGGUGGGGGGGGGGGGGCUAAUUGGGUUGGAGCAAAUGGGAUGGUACUAAGUAGGGUCAGAUCAAGUGGAGAGAGGCCAAGUAGGAAUGUACAAAGGGGGGAGAGACCAAGAAGAAUGGGACCAAGUGGGAAGGGUCAGGUGGGCUUGGAACAAGUAGGAUGGUACCAGGUAUGCUGAGACCAAGUGGAGUGAGAACAAGUGAGUUAGGACCAAGUUGGGUGGGACCAAGUGGAGUGGGACGAAGCGGGAUGGUACCAAGUGGGCUGGGACCAAUUGGGGUGGGACCAAGUGGGGUGGAGCCAAGGUGAGACCAAGUGGGGUGGAGCCAAAAUGAGACCAAGUGGGGUGAGACCAAGUUGAUUGAGACAAAGAGGGAUGGUAACAAGUGGGAGGGUAAUGUGGGCUUGGAAUAAGUGGGAUUUGGUGAAUUGACAACUCACAUGUAUUGGAACUUGCAUCCCUACACUAUGGCUAAGCCUAAUAUCACUUGGAACCAAGUGCCCAUUUUCACACAUUCAUUAUUUAACAUUUGUAGAUAUCCAGGGAAAUGCAUGUUAAUUCAACACACCAUUCUCUGGCUUGCCAAUCUAGCUACAACUAAUUAUAAAGUGAUGGCAGUAUUUGUGGUAGUACACUAUAAUCCUGUUAGUACUCUGAUACACAACAUGAAAAAAAAGAAAUUUACAGCAAUGAAAUAGUUAGUACUUUCCUACCAACCCAACAAAAUAAAAUAAAUCUGAUAAUCUUGAAAAUUAUAUCCAUUUGUACUGCACGUUAAUACCGUUCAAGAGUUAAGCAUAAGUAUCAGUAUAUUCCUCAUUUGAUUUUUAAUUACAAUGUCACAAAGAAAUAUUUACAGCCAGCUGUUUUGUAAGGACAAAAUCCUUGGAAUGUACAAACAAAGUGACGGACAUCUUACAUUCACACAUAGAGAAAUAAAACACGGGAAUUGUUGAAGAAAAAACAUCUUAAUUUCAAACUACAGAAAUGGAAGCACCCAGUAGUACUUUACAUCAAACAAUAUACUUGACAUGAAUUAAAUACUACACUUG